rnacentral:ribozyme from 1 species
AUUGGAUGGAGAUGAUUUCCCUGCAGGGCAAGACCAACUUUUUCGAGAAGCGCGUGGGCGAGUACCAGAAAGCAGGCGUGAUGACCGGCGGCUAUGGGGCCGAGGAGUCUUCGCAGUUUGCCUUGGACCGGGACUUCUGAGGUGGAAGUCGAUUUUUGGGCACUGCGACGAAUUUGGUCAGCGCAUGGGAGUCCAAUCUGUG